AGUUAACCCUACAGCUGCACACAUCGGUCUCACGGCCAACGUGCUAGCUGACAGGGCUAACCUCCUUCGGGUUGCUGUGCAUUACCACCACCAGUCCACUAGAUGGCGCUGUCGCAAAAGAACUAGAACUGCGGUCCCAGGAUUGCAGGGGUCCUGAAACUGCAGCCUCCGGUACUACAGCUUCAUACUAUUGGAAACUGUAGCCCCCAGUACUGCAGCUAUAUAAUACUGGCUGACCUGCCUGUCAGGUCGACAUACUGCCCCUACGUUCAUGAGCUGAAUUGCAUCUUGCGGAUGCGUAGCGUUAAUUUCUGGAGGCGCACACAACCUAUGCUCAAAAGGAACGCAGGAUAGGCGUGGCAGCCAUCUUGUGUACCCGACAUCGUAGGCAAAAACAUGGCAAAUGGAGCUCCAGCCAGCCAGGAGAACUUCUGAGAAGAAGUCAACAGAGCUGAGGAAACUCAACAAACGUAACCUAUUGGCCUCAGGUGAAGAUAC